UACGUAGGGGGCAAGCGUUAUCCGGAUUUACUGGGUGUAAAGGGAGCGUAGACGGCAGAGCAAGUCUGAAGUGAAAGCCCGCGGCUUAACCGCGGAACUGCAUUUGAAACUGUUGGUCUUGAGUAUCGGAGAGGCAGGCGGAAUUCCUAGUGUAGCGGUGAAAUGCGUAGAUAUUAGGAGGAACACCAGUGGCGAAGGCGGCCUGCUGGACGACAACUGACGGUGAGGCGCGAAAGCGUGGGGAGCAAACAGG
rnacentral:rRNA from 1 species